rnacentral:rRNA from 1 species
AUGAUCAUUUUAGCCUGGAACUACCGAGGGUUGGGGUUGGACUCGGCAGUAGGCGAACUUCGGGACCUGAUUAGGUCAUACAACCCAGCGGUGGUGUUUUUAUCAGAAACAAAGACGAGGUUAGGAGCAAUGGAGAGGCUCAAGUGGAGCUUGGGUUUCAGUCAAGGUGUUGCGGUGGAUUGUAAGGGAAAGAGUGGAGGAUUAUUACUUUGGUGGAGGGACCAUGUUGAGAUUACGGUGCGGCCAUGGUGCCAAUAUUAUAUCAAAGCAAAGAUUGUAAAUGAGGGUGUCUCCUUCAGAUUCACUAGAAUCUAUGGGGAGCCACGUAUCGAGAAGAGAACAAAAACUUGGCACGUUCUCCGUUAUCUCCGUGCACAAGACAAGGCCCUCCGACAGAACGAACAAGGGGGCAAACCGAGGUGCUUGAACCAAAUGGCACUUUUCGAGGAUUGCCUGUCCGACUGUGGACUUGCGGACCUAGGCUUCUCGGGAUACCCGUUUACGUGGGACAACAAACGCGAUGCGGAUGAAAACAUUCAAGUGUGGCUAGACCGAGCGACGUGCAACGCGGAGUUUGCGCAGCUAUUCCCAGCGGUCGAAGUUCAACACAUUAUGACAGAAUAG